AACGAACGCUGGCGGCAUGCCUAACACAUGCAAGUCGAACGAGACCUUCGUGUCUAUUUUCGCACGGGUGCUUAACGCUUUUGAACCUUCCCUUAGUUUCGGAAUAACUCCCCUAAAUGUGUGCUAAUACCGGUUAAUGUCUUCGUACCAAAGAUUUAUCGCCUUUUGAUGGGCCCUCGUUGGAUUAGCUAUUUGUUAGGGUAAAAGCCUACCAAGGCGACGAUCCAUAGCUUGUCUGAGAGGAUGAUAAGCCACACUGGUAAUGAGACACGGCCCAGACUACUACGGGAGGAAGCAGUGGGGAAUAUUGGAAAAUGGGCGAAAGCAUGAUCAAGAAAUGACGCGUGAGUGAUGAAGGCCUUAGGGUUGUAAAGCUCUUUUAACCGGGAUGAUAAUGACAGUACCGGGAGAAUAAGCUCCGGCUAACGCCGUG
rnacentral:rRNA from 1 species